AGGGGGAUGGGAGUAGGUGGUGAUGGCUAAAGGGUGCGGGGUUUCUUUUUGGGGUGAAAAUGUUCUAGAACUGAUUGUGGUGAUGGUUGCACAACUCCAUGAAUACACUAAAAGUCACUGUACACUCUAAAUGAGUGAACUGUAUGGUCUGUGAAUUACAUCUCAAUAAAGCUGUUAAAAAAAUAACUGUGA